rnacentral:tRNA from 5 species
GGUGGGGUUUCCGAGCGGCCAAAGGGAGCAGACUGUAAAUCUGCCGUCAUCGACUUCGAAGGUUCGAAUCCUUCCCCCACCACCA